GAUGAACGCUGGCGGCGUGCCUAACACAUGUAAGUCGAGCGAUUUACUCCGGUAAAGGGCGGCGGACGGGUGAGUAACGCGUGGGUAACCUGCCCUGUACACACGGAUAACAUACCGAAAGGUAUGCUAAUACGAGAUAACAUACUUUUAUCGCAUGGUAGAAGUAUCAAAGCUCUGGCGGUACAGGAUGGACCCGCGUCUGAUUAGCUAGUUGGUAAGGUAACGGCUUACCAAGGCGACGAUCAGUAGCCGACCUGAGAGGGUGAUCGGCCACAUUUGAACUGAGACACGGUCCAAACUCCUACGGGAGGCAGCAGUUGGGAAUAUUGCACAAUGGGCGAAAGCCUGAUGCAGCAACGCCGCGUGAGCGAUGAAGGCCUUCGGGUCGUAAAGCUCUGUCCUCAAGGAAGAUAAUGACGGUACUUGAGGAGGAAGCCCCGGCUAACUACGUGCCAGCAGCCGCGGUAAAAC
rnacentral:rRNA from 1 species